ACUUGUGGCAAAACUUCCUUGUCAAAGCCUGAUCUCCUCAGAUCUCAGAAGCUAAGCAAGGCUGGGCCUGGUUAGUACUUGGAUUGUAGACCGAUGUUGUUGUGUCCUUAGGCAAUACACUUC
rnacentral:rRNA from 1 species